GAAUACAAUUUUCAGAUUUAUUUUUUAUGAUAUCUUCUUAUUAAAAUUCUUUGAUAUUCAAGGAAAAUGUUUGUCUUGUUUAUAAAGCAUUGUUUUAAGAUUUGGUAUCCUUGGCACCACUAAUUUUUGAGUAUAAUGGUGAAUCACAUCUAUACUAUAUUAAAAGGGUUAUAUGAGCAUCAGAGAGUGUGUCCACGUAGGACAAUUAAAUCAGCCAAUUACGAAGCUUUAAAUUGCCAGGUCAUAUUCGCAUAAGUCUCGCCUAAUCCCUAAUUUUGUCUAAAGCGAUCAUCGAUCUCAUCUCGCUGUUGCUGAAUCCGUACGAGACGAUCCGUUUGAUCUGUUCUCUGGAGCCAGCGUACCAACCGUAUUUGAAGUUCGGAUCUCCGCCGUUCUUCCUCGCCAUGGCCUCCGUGAAGAUGCGAAAGGCUAGAGACUUGGCUCUCGUGGUGAUCGCGUUCGGAGAUUUCUUACGAUCGUGGUGGCGUUAGCGAUAGUGGCGCUUAAGCCGGAGAGGAAACACGUGGUGAUGACGUCGUGCUCUUAGUUCCCUUCGCGGAGAAGAAUCGUUGAGUCGGUCGAGGAGGAGGAGGCAUCAUCGGAGAGGGGAUCGAGAAUUUCGCCGUUAUCGAGUUCGAUCUCAACCUGCGCCGCCAUCACCAAGUGGAAAGAAAGUGCGAGAAAAUGAGAGAGAGAGAAGUUUUUCUUGAGAAAAUGUGGAAGAAAGCAGAGUCGUCCCCUCUCUCUCUCUCUCCAACGUUAUAAACGAUUUGCUCUGUAUUAUUCAUCUUCACCUGAAUGAAACUCAAGAUCAAGGGAGGAUGAUCCCCUUUCAAGUAUAGUAUUUGCCGGAGCUUUGCCGUGGAGUCCGUUGUGGCCGUGCUAUUGACGUUUUAGAUUUGAAUCAGCCUACACGGACCUAACAGCAACAGGGAUUCCAGCGGACUAACAGAAGCAGCCGUGGAGAGGCAAGGCAGGGACGAGAUUAGCGGCCAGAAAUUUGAAAGGAAAUCUUCAGAAGAAUCAGAUAGUAAGAUUGUUGGUGAAGAAGAGAAGGAAGAUAUGUCGCUUGGUAAUGGUAGUGGUGGCUCUAACAAGGCGGCUACACAUGACAAAGACAGAGAUACUUCUCCUUCCCAUGAAGGGAUAAAACUUUCUCUAUGAUUGUGCUGUUUAAAAUGAUCAUUUAUGCAUAGCCUUGGUUUAGUAUUUUUGGUUUAUAAAAGUCAUGACUACAAUUCAACAGGGUAUUGGAAAGAGCUACUAUGGGCAGCUUCGUGUUCUCUCUGGAGGUCAAGCACCUGGUGGGCACACUGCUUUAUAUGGACCAUUCGGGUGAUCCUGCAAGUUUUCAUGCUGCUGUAGCAAAGACAUGUUUUGAGCUGAAGAAUCAACUCAUCACUGCUAGCUAUGUUGAUGAUGAAACAUCCAUGUAGAUGGCUAAGAAAUACUUGGAUUAUGAUUCUUGGUGAAGUGACAUCUCACAACUUGGAUAAUUGAGAAUGAGGCUCAUAUCAGCAAGGGGAAAGUGAAGUCUUUCACGCUCUUCCUGUGGUAGCAUUCCCUUUUCUUCUGCAGCAGAUAAUUUAUUAGCACAGAUUGAAUGACUUCAAUCUGAUGUAUUCAAAUCAUGCAAUAAUGUGAUCAAGAGCUCACAUUCACCUUCCGCUUUUUAAUAUUUAUUAUGUAUCUUUUUUUUGGGAAUCAUAAUAAGCAAUAAUAUUUUACGGUACAUAUGCAUUACAAUUACAACCAAAAGAAAAUUAAAGAAAAACAGUGAGCAUAUAAAGUUAGCUUAAAAAGGGACCCCAUAGAGAAAAUACAUUUAAAAAUAUAUAGUAAAUUAUUAAAUAAACAAAAUAAAAUUGGAACAAAUUUAAAUAGUAAAUAUAUUUAAGACUCAAACAAAUAUGUAUAAUUUUAAAUAGUAAUGACCACUAUUAAAUUUUUAUGUAGUUUAUCUGAUUUAAUUAUAUUUCCAGUUAAAAUGGAUUAAACUUCACAACUUAUUACUUAUAACUUCAUUAAACUCAUCAGCAAUUUUUAAAAACUAAUUCUAACUAUUAAUAUAGUUAAACUAAAACAAACAUUAAAAUGAAUAGUCAAAUAAACAGAAUUUUUUUUAUAGUAAAAAACAUGUCGGACGUUCGACAACUGUCUCGCAACGAGCUUCUACCAAGAGAUAUAAAUGUUACUUGCACAGCUCGUGAAGUCCUCUGAAACCGACUUACGUUACACAAUGGCGUCGACGCCGGUUCUGGGGUUGGCAGCAGGAGACUCACGUAUAUACAAGGACCUGGAUCUCCAGACGCAUACAUUUUCCUGAUUGGCUUUUAUCAACCGUUUCCGUGAUCUUAUGGAUCGAUGUCUUGCUAGCGGUAACAUCCAGGCACACUACGUGCAAGGAAUUCAUGAAUAUUUUCGCAACAACACAAUCAAUGGCAUGCACCAUUUACGCGUCUCAGCAGGUGGUUCUUACGCAGAUGGUGUAAUCAUGUUGUGCAGAGGUGAGCGAGCUGUCAGUCAUGCCUACAUAUACAUGCUUGGUUGGAGGGAGUCCCCAACUAAAUUAGACGAAUGCUGGAGGCGAAUUAAAACUUCGCUUCAUGGUAUUGUUGUUACGAGACUCCCGGUUUACAUGACGACGUACCAAGAAACAAGAGGUGCUAUUACUAGCCUUUGCCAAAGGAACCUGCGGAAGCUCGAGCCACCGGAAAGAUGCCAUGUCAAUGACAUGGACAAUUACUGCGAGCUUUGCUUAUGCUACAAGUAAAUCAAGCAGUUCAUUGCUAUCCUUUGAGAUCACAUUAGUGUUUUGCAGUUCGUUGUUAUAUCGAAUCGUAUUCCAUACAAAAUCCAUGGUAAUCGCAGGAAAAUUUGAUUUCCGGUUUUGGCUGGAAGUUUGCUUUUUGUGGUGGAAAAAUUGAUUUCGUGGUUUUGACUGAAAAUUUUGAUUUUCUCUGCUUUGGCCAAAAUAUUCGAUUUUGUGGUUCUUGCGGAAAAAAGAAUUUGUUGUUUUAGCGGGCUGGAAAUUUUGUGUUUACGAUUUUGGAGGGAAGAUUCAAGUUCACGGCUUUGGCAAAAAUUUUAAUUUUGUGAUUUUGGCGAAAACUUUUGCUCUUGCGGUUGUGACGGGAAAAAACAAUUUUUAUUUAUUUUGGCAGUAAAUUUCAAUUUUUUUUUUAUUUUAUCGAGAAAAUACAAUUUGCGGUUUUAGAGGAAAAAUCUAAUUUGAUGUUUUAGAUGGAAAUCCGAUUUGCGGUUUAGAGAAAAAAAUUAAUUUUACGGGUUUGCCGAAAAAAUCGACUUUUCGUUUUUUGAAAAAAAACAACUAAAACCUCAUUUUCCAUAAUCAAUCUUUAAAUAUUUUUAUAAUAUUUUUAAAAAGUGUUUUUUCUUCCAAAUAGUCAUACAUUAAAAAUAAAUAUUAAAAACAGAAGAUCAUAUAUCAUUUUAAAUUGGUCAAAACAAGUUUAAAUGAGUCAAUGUAAUAUUUGAGGGUCUAAAUGAAAAAUUCUAAUAGAUUUAUUUUAAAAUUAAUCUAACGGCAUAGCUUUUGAAUGGGGUGAGUCUUAAUUUUUUUUUUUUGACAAGAUGGGAUGUGUCUUAAAUGGGGUGGGUUUUCCCAUUUUAACAUCCAUAUACUCCAAUGUAAAGAACAUUACCAUUAGAUUAUUUUGGUUUGACAUUAGAAGUUCGGUAGCUCAUAUAAAUCUAACACCAUGUUAUGUUGUUAAAGGUUUCGGGCAUUAGUAAAUUAAUAAAAAUGUAGCAAUCAAUAAUGUGAACUUAUUAUAGUAUAUAUUGUAAUCAAUCUAAGUAUAAAAAUAUAUUUAUAUUCAGAUACAAAUUAUAAAGUAAUUUAAAUUUAAUUAAAAUAUAUGGAAAAUAACCCGGGCGUAGCCCGGGAAAAUUUCUAGUCCUUAAUAAAGAUUAUAUACAACCUAUCUAUGGAAAUACACUAGGCGUGAAUCGAGCGGUGAGUGGCUUAGCGAUCUAUCAGAAAAAUUCGGCCAUUAAAUGGAGAUUAAUAGGGAGUUGAUUCCAUUUUUUCAGGUUUUGACUAAGUGUAUAUAAAAUAAGUAGCUUAGAGCAUCUCCAAUGGUGUUACCCACCAUUGGAGUCCUUAGCCAUAUUUUAAUAUUUUUUUUUCUUUUCUGAAUAGUUAAGGACUUUGAUCCUAAUUAUAUGUCCAAUGGUGUUACCCACCAUUGGAGUCCUUAGCCAUAUUUUAAUAUUUUUUUUCUUUUCUGAAUAGUUAAGGACUUUGAUCCUAAUUAUAUGUCCAAUGGUGUUACUACUAUGAAGAUCUUAUAAUUUUUUUUUUUUUUAAGAAAUUAAAAAUUAUGAAAGUUGCAAAACAUUAAAAUUGAAAAUUCAUUUAUUGAAUGAUUAAAUGCAAACAUACAAUAAUUAUUCAUCUUGAAAGCGAGAUUUAAUGAAGCAGUAUGGAUAUUAUUUGCAAACUCCUACUAAUUUCACACGAGGCAGAGAUGAAGGAUAAUUUAAUCCACUAACCUCACAGGGCUCUCUCGAGUUCAGCCACACGCAUAAGCAGCAUUCUCACCUCGUCCUGCAGCAUUCUCACCUCGUCCUGAACAUACAUCAUACAGUUAUUACAGAACUAUAGUCCUACCCACAUAUAAGUAAAGUCCUAAAGACAUAACAGAUCACUCAUCACUCACCUUAACUGCCUGGCACUCUCUCAGAAGCUUCGCCUGCUCGUGAUACCGUUCUUUGAGCCUCUCAACUUCUUCAUGAAUAGCCGUAACCCAUGGUUGCCUGAAAUGCAGCCCAUCAUUCUGCAAAAAAAGAUAAACAUUUGUCAGAAUAUGAACCAUAAAAAUAACCAGAUUAAUUACAGUACAUACCUCAAAGUCUUUGCAGAUAAAGUAUCUUUUUCCCGGGAGGUAGUCGUACGUAUCAUCUUCAUCAACGGUUUCUUUCGUGAUUGAUCCACAGGGGCAAAUUUUGGGAAUCCCCUGUUGCGCAUUUGCAACAAAAUCGAUCAUGUUGUAGUACUCUUUUUGUGCUUUCUUAUCGCGAAGUUCUUCCUCCAUUUCAAAACCUGCAAGGAAAAUCAUGUUAUCAGAUUCAUAAUUAGCUAUAAGGAUAGCUUAACACAAAUGGUUUCAACUAUCCCGAACCCGUAAUCGAUUUACAAAUCAAUCUCGAACCGUAAAAUUAUUUAUAACUCUUCACGGAACGUAAAUCAAUCCAGAAGUCAAUCCCAACUCAAUUUCAAACCCUAUAUCUAUUAAAACCAUACGAUAGAACUCUCAAACAACAAAGAACCGAUUCGAGAUGCAGAAAAUAACAAACCUAGACGAAAACCGUAAAUCGAAAAAAAUCCCCAAUUCGAUUUGAAACCUAAAAUCGAUUUUUACCACACGAUAGAACCCUAGAACUGACUAAUCAACAUGCAUCAACACCUAAUCCAAAAAUAUUGAGUUAAGAGCACGCGAUUUACCUUCACCGUUUCACGAUCUCUGAAUCGCCUUUCGCCUUCGGGAGAGUUUUUUUUUCGAGACGGAGAAAGAGAAUGAAUGUUUUUUUCCACAUACGAAACACAACCCCUACCACGACCACUCCCGCCUUGCCACGUGAUUAAGGAUUUGAUCCUUAAACCCCUUAGUUUAGGAUCAAUCCUUCGGUUACGACAUUUUAAAAUUAUUUUUUUAAUUGCUUUUACCUAAGUUAUCGCGCUUAGGAUUCAUCACGAACCCGCGUUGCGGGUGCUCUUACGGGAAGGAAAAAAUUAAGGAUAAGAUGGUUUGAUGAUUGGAUAGGAAUCAGCCUAACAUGUCUCGAGUUCGCGUUUGGUAUAGUGUGUUUUGACUUUUUGUGUUUGUUUUAAAUGAGUGGUAUAAAAAAAUAAAAAUAAAAAAAAUAAAAAAAAAUAAAUGAGUGGUGUAAUCGUAAAUACACUCAUCUUCUCCAUGAUUUGUUUAGGUUUCCUGCAACUUUUUUUGCCAUCGUCAACAAUUGAAUUGUCAAAAUAAACUUUUUCUUGCCGAACAUAGUGAAAACGCCACAUGAAGCUUCCGUCUGCCGCUCCGUCGGUUGUUAAUCGGGAUCCACAGUUCGGUUUUGAACAUGGCACACAACCAUUAAAUAUUUGAUCUCAAUUGAGAUAUAUUCUGAUGAUGAGACUGUUCUUGAAGCUGCUUCUCGUGAAGUAAUGGAAGAAACAAGACAGGAGUUAAAGGAAUAACACGAGUAUGUUUUCUGUGCCAGCAUAGAUACUUCAUCACAAGUAGAGAAAGUUCUCAAGUUACAAAAAAAAAAGUAGAGAAAGUUUUGUAUAGAUUAGAUUGGAUUAUCUUUUAGUGUUUGGCUGUUUUAUACAAAAUCAAUUGAGUUAGGAAAUUUAGAUUGGAUUGUCUUUUAAUGUCCUAUUGUUUAUGUAAGCAUAUUUUGAACUACUUGAUUCCGAUGUUUUUAAUUAAUAAAGUUUAAUUAUAAAUGUUUUUCAUUUACAAUUAAUUAUUUGCUUAUAAAUUCAAAUAUAAAUUAAAAUUUUAAUUUUUGUAAAAUAAAAUAAUAAAUAUCAGUGCAGUCCCUAAGUAGUUGCUAAUAUUUGAAACGACUGUGUAACUCCAAAUACCAUGUGGUUGCAUAUGAGUCGCACUUUUUUGUCACAACUUUAUCACUAAUGAACUAAAAACCCCAACUACAUUGUCGUUAUGGAUAUUACCACGAAAUUGUAACUUAAUUUAUGAUUUCCAAUGUAGUUAUACAUUAGUCACAAAAUUAGCUACUUAUUGUGAAGUCUCACAGUAGUUGCUAUUUGGCAACCAAUUUGCGACUACAAUUAUUUGCGACGAGUUGUUUCUUACUUCAACCCGUAGUUGCAAAAAGGUAACAAAAGUCAUAUUUGUGACUAUUUUGUCACUAUAUAUGUAGUGUGGCAAAAUCAGUGUUUUAUUGUAGUGAAACACAGUACCUAUCGUACCUCAACUUGGCUGAUAAUACAUAAACACUCUCUGCACACUGUAUUUUCUCAUAAGAAUAUAUGUAUAUAUGUAAGUAUCGCUAGUACAAUAGUCCAUCUUUGUACCCCUCCCCCCGCAAUCCGUUCGUCGACAAAUAUCUUUGUACCUCCGCAAUCUAUUCGUUGCGACUGAUACUAACGUCUUUGUACCCCUGAAAUCUACCCGUCGGCGACUAAUAAUAACGUACUAGAACUUGACUCGCGCUCCCGCGCGGAUGUUUGAUUUAACUUGUGUUUAACGUAAACUCAUAAACUGCUGGUUUUUAUAAAAAAAUUCCAUGUACAAUGUCUGAGUGUAGAAAACUUCCUUUUAAAAGCUUAAUAUCUUCUAAAUAGCUUUCAAAUGCUGGUCAUUCUUCUGGUUCCGAAACCAUCUUCACCAACUGAGAACAAUCCGUUGCAAAUAUUUGCACAUAAUAUUAUAUUAUAAAUUUUAUAACUUGAUGCAACUGAUGACAAUAUAUAUAUAUAUAUAUAACUUGAUGCAACUUGAUGUAAUAUAGGAAUAUCGAUUUGGUUAGAUAAGUUUCGGUAUUGUAAUUAAUUAGUCUAAAUUAAUUUUAAAUGCAGUCGCAGAAUAUGUAAAUAAAAAGAAAUAAAAAAAGUAAAUAUU